rnacentral:rRNA from 1 species
CCUACGGGUGGCAGCAGUGGGGAAUAUUGCACAAUGGGGGGAACCCUGAUGCAGCGACGCCGCGUGAGGGAAGAAGUCUCUCCGUAUGGAAAGCUCUAUCAGCAGGGAAGAAGAUGAAGGCACCUGAGCAAGAAGCCCCGGCUAACUACGUGCCAGCAGCCGCGGCAAUACGGAGGGGGCCAGCGUUAUCCGGAUUUACUGGGUGUAAGGGGAGCGUAGACGGGAGGGCAAGUCUGGAGUGAAAGCCCGGGGCUCAACCCCGGGACUGCUUUGGAAACUGUCAUGCUGGAGUGCAGGAGAGGUAAGCGGAAUUCGUAGUGUAGCGGUGAAAUGCGUAGAUAUUAGGAAGAACACCAGUUGCGAAGGCGGCUUACUGAACAGUAACUGACGUUGAGGCUCGAAAGCGUGGGGAGCAAACAGGAUUAGAUACCCCAGUAGUC